rnacentral:rRNA from 1 species
AGUGAACGCUGGCGGUAGGCCUAACACAUGCAAGUCGAACGGCAGCACAGGAGAGCUUGCUCUCUGGGUGGCGAGUGGCGGACGGGUGAGGAAUACAUCGGAAUCUACUCUGUCGUGGGGGAUAACGUAGGGAAACUUACGCUAAUACCGCAUACGACCUACGGGUGAAAGCAGGGGAUCUUCGGACCUUGCGCGAUUGAAUGAGCCGAUGUCGGAUUAGCUAGUUGGCGGGGUAAAGGCCCACCAAGGCGACGAUCCGUAGCUGGUCUGAGAGGAUGAUCAGCCAAACUGGAACUGAGACAAGGUCCAGCCUCCUACGGGAGGCAGCAGUGGGGAAUAUUGGACAAUGGGCGCAAGCCCGAUCCAGCCAUACCGCGUGGGUGAAGAAGGCCUUCGGGUUGUAAAGCCCUUUUGUUGGGAAAGAAAUCCAGCUGGCUAAUACCCGGUUGGGAUGACGGUACCCAAAGAAUAAGCACCGGCUAACUUCGUGCCAGCCGCCGCAGUAA